AAGUGAGCUUUGUUUUUAAAGAAAAUUGACUGUAAUUUGUUGUGGAGUUUUUAUUUUAACUUUUCAAGGAGAACAAUACUAUGUUUAUAAAUGCAUGUUUCCUUUGGUUUACUAAAUGUUUAAGAGAGUUUGCUGUUUAAACAAAAAUAAAAAAUAAACAUCAGGUUUGAAAAAUUCCUUUCUGCUUUACAUCUCAUGUCACUUACAGGUUGUUUUUAGAUAAAACUAUUAAAAGUACAAAUUAAAAAUUGUCACAAUAAUAAGAAUUACACAUUUCUGUAUUUACUUGAACAUUUGAAUAAUUUCUUGAAGACUUUCUCAUGAAUACACGUAUCCAUUAUGAAUAGGGCUGCACGAUAUUAGGAAAACCUGCGAUAUUCGAUAACAGUGAUAUCGAUAUUGUGAUAUCGAUAUUACUCAUGAUAAAUGAACAAAUAGGCAAGGCAGCGCCUUGUUUGGUUGUAAUGCCUUGUGAAUGCGCUUUAUAAAUAAAAUUGGAUUGGAUAUACUAAAGUAUGCAGUGUUGAUGUCGUCUGGCGUGUGAUGUCUGCUCUGGGCUCAAAGCAAACAAAAACUAAUGCAUGAAUUCCAUUACAACAUAACAUUUUUAUUGCAAAAAUAUGCAGCUGCACCUGCUACUGUAUUAGCAGCAAAACAACAAACUGCAUGCAUGCAGUUUCUCAGUGACUUUAAAACGUCACCUCCACCAUAAAACUUUUUCUGAUGCUCCAAAUACAGAAAAACAUCCCUUACCAGGGUUUUUAGAAUAAAUAAAAAAAUCUGAAAAUUACUUUAAAUGUUAAAUAAUAGUUAACAUCACUUAAAUGCAACAGCAAAUUCUCUCAUUGCUACUGAGCAUUUUCUCCACUUAUGUGGUUAUGAUAUAAGGCUGUUGCUGCAGUUGGGAAGUGAACUGUGCUGGGCCAAACUAGGAGAACAUUAAGAUUUUCUGAGGGUAAGAGAAAAACAAUUGUCUACCUUUCAGAAGAGGAACUGGCAAAAAAAAAACUACAUGGAAAAUAUGUGAAAAUGUUUGUUUUUAACCCCAAAUUGAACAAGUUUACCUAGAUCUUAAAAAGCAGCUCAGAUGAUGAAACUGCAACUAUGAUUCUGAUAACAAGCUAACAAAUUGAACUAAGAUAACCGGCUAGCAGAGCUUCUGACUGUUUAUAUGCAGCAGCAAAUCAACUAUCCUGAUUAACAAGGUUAUAAAAGCUCAUAAAGGAAAAAUCACUUUGAUGUGUGGGGGAACUUUUCCAGGCCCUCUUUUUGGCCCUCCAUGCCAUUUUUUUUACAUGCCAUUUUUUUUACAUGAUAUGGUAGCUGCUAUUAUGUAAAUAGGGUGCUAGUCGGCAUAUAUUACUUACUAUUAUCUUGUUACUUACUAUUGUUUUGUUACUUACUAUUGUUUUGUUUUAGGGGACCUUUAUAUUUAGAGGUAUUAUUGUAUUGUGCACCAAGGGAGUGGCACUCCAAUUUCUUUGUAUCCUGUACAAUGACAAUAAAGGCUAUUAUGAUUAUUAUUAUAUUAUUAUUAUUAUUUAGCAGGGUGGGACUGGGAGGAGAGUGCUGUAGCCUUUUAGCUGGAAGCUAACCGGAGCCUGGGGCUAACACUAGCGACAUGAAGGUGGGUUGGUUCACCGGCACGUGUCGGAGUCAGCCCGGUAAAAAUGAUUAACGACACCGAGCGGAGUCACGUUCAUAUUUGAAAGCAGCGCUGAUUCCAGAAACCUCAGCACAAAGUGCGUUCGCUGCUCUGAGCCAGCAUGACGAACAAGGGAACGGCGCCGCAAACUGUUCGGGUGUUGCUUUCCAAAAGGGUCUAUGUAGGGGGCAGGCAUACGUGAAGGGAACCAUCUGAUUCAAAAGGGCUACAUUUGAUUGGUCAAAUAAUACUUCCGCGUAAAAAACAGCUGGUUUACAAAAAGCUGAUGUAUGACACGGAUAGAAAUGUUUGAACCAAACAUUUAUCGCUAUUUUUGCCGUGUUUUGCGAUGGGCCUAUCGCACGUCCUGUUAUCGCGAUGACGAUAAUUUUUCGAUAUAUUGUGCAGCCCUAAUUAUGAAAAUGAAAGAUCUGAUUUGUGACAGUAUGUAGCUGUAAAAAAUAAAAUUAAAUUUAGAUAGCAAAAUGAUCAUCACAGGACAAAAAGAAAUAGCCAGAAAGGGUUAGAUUAUAGACUGACAGUGAUUAUGUAUUUUUUACUUUACCUCAGUUUUACAGCAAGUCAUUGUUUUGGCUCGAUUGAUUCCCUGAAAUUAGUGUUUUGUUUUGUGAGAUCUGGUUCUAUCAAGGACAGAUACGAUCCAUCUGUUCUGCAGACAUCCUGAAGUAUUUCAUGUGGCGAUCACUGUCCAGAGACAAUUCCGCCACAAGAGUAUGAAAUACUCCAUGUGUUUUUCUUUUUUUGUUUAUUGGGUGGACCCACAGUCUUUUAUUUCUUCUUUGGCAAUACAUGCGCAACCAGAGAUACAGGACAACGACUCUCCCCCGGAUGAAUGGCACUGAGAAACAGGAAGAGAAUUUUUAUUGUACAAACGACAAGCUUUGUUGAAGAAUAAAAACAUGGUUAUUUACUUACCCAUUUCGGAAGAAAUGCUAGGAUACAACUGGCAGAAACAACUGGUUCAUACCAUAGGUACACACACACACACACACACACACACACACACGCACACAAACGUGGAGGAAAAGGCAGAGAGGAAAUGGAGGACACCAAGUGGUUAAAAGAAAAACUACAGCUGAGCCGAGGCGCACCUCGACUGGAGCGCGUCUGAUCUGAACUGAGGAGCGGCCGAAUUUCGUGAGCGAUUCGCUUCCGCGGCCGGUGUGUCCCUGGCGUCAAUCAGAAGCUCUGCAGAAACAUGAAGCAGCGGAGAAAAUGGAGAGCAGAAGUUGGCCGACCUGGAGUGGCAGCUGCAGGAGCAGAGCCAAGCUGAUGCUAAACAGGUCGGCUGCGUUUAAAUGAAUUCUACCUCUCUAGCUUUGGAAUUCAGCGUUGACUGAAAGGUGUUUUUUCCCAGAUGGGGAGGGAAUUUGCAGAAACCAUUCAGCUGAGUGAAACUUUGGCUACAGAGAAGGAGCUGGGGAUGUUCAUGGAGCAAACGCAGCACCUGGAGAAAGAGAAUGCUGCUCUGUCGCAGGAGCUGAAGGAGAUCAACGACCUGGACGAGUUUGAGUCACUGGAGGGGAAGAUCAACAAGGAACUGGAGACCGAGUAACGCAGUGAAAUCUGUAGCCUGAAGGAAGCCGUUAAAUCAUCUGAAGCACAGCGCCUCGAGCUUCAGGUAAGCUGAUGAUCACACGUCCUGCUCAUAAAAACUACGGUCAUGGUUCUGGAGUGGUCCGACCACAGGUGGACAACUCACAUGCCCUCAUGGUUGAGUUGUUGAGUUAUCCAGGGUUAAAAGAUGAAGCCGUAACCUUUUUUUUGUGUUUGUUUUGUUUGGUUUGUUGCUUCAAAACAAACUUCAGGCUUGUUCUUGUUUGAGGAGCUGACUAAGAAAACAGAAUUUGCUGAAUAGCUUCAAAAGAUGGUACGUUUGUUAUUUACUUUAGUUGUUGAUGAACUGUGAUGCUUGCCCAGCUGUCUCACACCUCUAACGGUUUGGAAGCUCUGAAGUUUUCCACUGAGCUGCUGCUGAGUUGUUUCACCGUCUGAUCUCUGCAGAGCGGUAAGGACUUGGUGCAGGAGGUCGCCAAGCUGCGUCGCUCUCUGGAUGAUGCAGAGGGGGUGAGCAGGGAUACGAAGAAGGAAUGGGCAUUCCUCCAGAGCGAAAACAUGAGUUUGGAAGAGUCAAAUGAGAAAAUGGAGUCUGAGAUGAAUGGUCUGCUUUUAGAACUUGAGACAGCGAAAUCUCGCUACUAAAAGAUGCAGUGAUCUCCAGAAGGAGCUGAACAUUGCUUUUGACGAAAACUCCAAGCUCACCACUCUGCUCGAUGGCAACGUCCCCAAAAGUCUGAUUGACAGUCUGGACCUGGAGAGAACUGUGAUCCGGCUGGAGAAGGAGCUGACGGCUUCACGUGAAGCAGAGGAGACUCUCUGAGCUGAGCUCCAGAUGCUGGCUUCAUUUAAGACUCUUCCAGAUCAGGUGGAUGACUUGACAAAACAGGUUUGUGACCUGACUGAGGAGUUGCAGUGUGUUAAAACCGAGAGGGACGGCCUGCUCUCAGGUCAAACUCGGAGUGAGCUGGAGGCCCAGCAGUUCAGCGAGGAGAUUCAGAAAAUUCAAGCAGAUCUCAGCGUUUCUGCUCAGGAGGAGGAAGAGCUGAGGCAGCAGCUGGAUUCACUCCGCCCAGGGCAGGAGCGGUCCGAGGAAGAGAGGAGUCCGCUUGUUGUUUUCCUUCAAGAACGAGACUUGGAGAUAAAGCAACGGAGAGAAAUGCUUGAGUGGGAGCAUGCAGAGAAGGAGGUUCUUCUGUCGGAACUGCGUGGUUCUGCUCAGAGCUCUGCAGACGAGUCUGAAAAGCUGAGUUCCACCAUAAUGUCUCUGAGUGCAGAAAGAGACCAGCUGAGAAUGGAGCUGCAGACACUUGUGGACAAGGCCACAGAGACGGACGUUCUACUGCAGUCUCUCCAGAGAAGAACAGAAGCAGAAGAUCUUUGAUCUGAUGAGAACGUCUGAGCAGAACGAGUGUAAAUUACAGGAGCACAUAUCAAAGCUAUCCCAGGAGCUCCAGGGAACACGGGAUGAAAACCAGGCUCUGCAGGAGGCAGAGAAGCUGCUCACUGCAGAAAGAGAUGAGCUCAAAAAUGACCUGCGGGAAAACCUAGAGAUUAUGAUUGAGAAUCAGGAGGAGUUGAGGGUGGCUCUGGAGACAAACCGGGAACAGAUAAAGCAGAUCAAACUCCUGGAGUCUGAAAAAGCACGGAAACCAAAUGAACUUCCUCCUGAUUUAACGUCCUCAAACGUUCACACACACACACACACACACACACUCUAACAUCUGUAUGCAAGUGGACGUCUAACGCUGUUGGCCAAUUCUGAAUGGUGGGAUGGGCUUGGCAGAUGAAAUGUUUUACAGAUUUCUAAAAGUCAUUCCUGAAAGAGGGGGAUCUGAUUGUAGCUUUGCCGACUUAAUUCAAAUGACUGAAUUCUGCUUUUUGAAAUUACCUCCAGGUCUAGAAUUCAACUAUGAAAUUUCAAAAGUCUAAUGUGUCAGUCAUGUUGGAAGAAAGGUUCGAUUGAAACAGAUUAACUUUCUUAGGCUGUUUAUUUUU